ensembl:misc_RNA 7SK 7SK RNA
GGAUGUGAGGGCGAUCUGGCUACGACAUCUGUCACCCCACUGAUCGCCAGGGUUGAUUCGGCUGAUCUGGCUGGCUAGGCGGGUGUCCCCUUCCUCCCUCACCGCUCCAUGUGCGUCUCUCCCGAAGCUGCGCGCUCGGUCAAAGAGGACGACCUUCCCCGAUAGAGAGGACCGUUCUUCGGUCAAGGGUAUACGAGUAGCUGCGCUCCCCUGCUAGAACCUCCAAACAAGCUCUCAAGGUUCAUAAAAUAGCUAACAUACUAAUGUAUUUAAAUGCCCAAAGGACCCCAGAAAACUGGAUAACCCUCUACCUUU